rnacentral:rRNA from 1 species
UAUGCUUAACACAUGCAAGUCGUACGGAGAAGUUAUUCUUAGUGGCGGACGGGUGAGUAACACGUAAGAAUCUACCUUUAGAAAGGGGAUAACAUUUAGAGAUAAAUGCUAAUACCCUAUAUGCCGUUUGGUGAAAGAAGUAAUUCGUCUAAAGAGGAGCUUGCGUCUGAUUAGCUAGUUGGUGGGGUAAAGGCCUACCAAGGCGACGAUCAGUAGUUGGUCUGAGAGGAUGACCAGCCACAUUGGAACUGAGACACGGUCCAGACUCCUACGGGAGGCAGCAGUGAGGAAUUUUCUACAAUGGGCGCAAGCCUGAUAGAGCAAUACCGCGUGAGGGAUGACGGCCUAUGGGUUGUAAACCUCUUUUCUCAAGGAGGAAGAUAUGACGUUACUUGAGGAAUAAGCAUCGGCUAACCCUGUGCCAGCAGCCGCGGUAAUACAGGGGAUGCAAGUGUUAUCCGGAAUUAUUGGGCGUAAAGCGUCUGCAGGUGGAUAGUUAAGUCUUAUGUUAAAUUUCUAGGCUCAACCUGGAGUCGGCAAAAGAAACUGAUUAUCUUGAGUAUGGUAGAGGUAAAGGGAAUUUCAAGUGGAGCGGUGAAAUGCGUAGAUAUUUGAAAGAACUCCAAUAGCGAAGGCACUUUACUGGGCCAUUACUGACACUCAGAGACGAAAGCUAGGGGAGCAAACAGGAUUAGAUACCCUGGUAGUCCUAGCUG